CAGUCCGUGGGUUUGCAAAGAGUCGGACGCAAUUGAGUGACUGAGCAUAAGCCAAGCGCUGAACGCCAAGAGGACUUUAACGAAACCCGCCCUCUAGCCGCUGCCCCGUGCUGCCCUGAGAGGACGCCCUGGCCAGCCUGCCACAGACCCGGUGUCCCCGCACCUGGCUGAGUCCUUGCUGCCCACCCA